rnacentral:rRNA from 1 species
CAAAGGGAGCUUGCUCCUGGAGGUUAGCGGCGAACGGGUGAGUAACACGUGGGCAACCUGCCUGUAAGACUGGGAUAACAUCGAGAAAUCGGUGCUAAUACCGGAUAAUAAAAAGAACUGCAUGGUUCUUUUUUGAAAGAUGGUUUCGGCUAUCACUUACAGAUGGGCCCGCGGCGCAUUAGCUAGUUGGUGGGGUAACGGCUCACCAAGGCGACGAUGCGUAGCCGACCUGAGAGGGUGAUCGGCCACACUGGGACUGAGACACGGCCCAGACUCCUACGGGAGGCAGCAGUAGGGAAUCUUCCGCAAUGGACGAAAGUCUGACGGAGCAACGCCGCGUGAGUGAUGAAGGUUUUCGGAUCGUAAAACUCUGUUGUUAGGGAAGAACAAGUGCCGUUCGAAAGGGCGGCACCUUGACGGUACCUAACGAGAAAGCCACGGCUAACUACGUGCCAGCAGCCGCGGUAAUACGUAGGUGGCAAGCGUUGUCCGGAAUUAUUGGGCGUAAAGCGCGCGCAGGCGGUCUCUUAAGUCUGAUGUGAAAGCCCCCGGCUCAACCGGGGAGGGUCAUUGGAAACUGGGAGACUUGAGUACAGAAGAGGAGAGUGGAAUUCCACGUGUAGCGGUGAAAUGCGUAGAGAUGUGGAGGAACACCAGUGGCGAAGGCGACUCUCUGGUCUGUAACUGACGCUGAGGCGCGAAAGCGUGGGGAGCAAACAGGAUU